rnacentral:rRNA from 1 species
UGAACGCUGGCGGCGUGCCUAAUACAUGCAAGUCGAGCGAACAGACGAGGAGCUUGCUCCUCUGACGUUGGCGGCGGACGGGUGAGUAACACGUGGAUAACCUACCUAUAAGACUGGGAUAACUUCGGGAAACCGGAGCUAAUACCGGAUAAUAUAUUGAACCGCAUGGUUCAAUAGUGAAAGACGGUUUUGCUGUCACUUAUAGAUGGAUCCGCGCCGCAUUAGCUAGUUGGUAAGGUAACGGCUUACCAAGGCAACGAUGCGUAGCCGACCUGAGAGGGUGAUCGGCCACACUGGAACUGAGACACGGUCCAGACUCCUACGGGAGGCAGCAGUAGGGAAUCUUCCGCAAUGGGCGAAAGCUUGACGGAGCAACGCCGCGUGAGUGAUGAAGGUCUUCGGAUCGUAAAACUCUGUUAUUAGGGAAGAACAAAUGUGUAAGUAACUAUGCACGUCUUGACGGUACCUAAUCAGAAAGCCACGGCUAACUACGUG